AUCGCUUCUCGGCCUUUUGGCUAAGAUCAAGUGUAAAGGAUGUUAGCAUUUUAGUAUAUGUUACUGGGCUAACCAGGUACCACCAUUGUACACUAAACAGGAACGGCUUAUUUUCAUCUUGAUGGGCCAGAUUAA
ensembl:snRNA U2 U2 spliceosomal RNA